AGCGAACGCUGGCGGCAGGCCUAAUACAUGCAAGUCGAGCGGUCCCUUCGGGGGCAGCGGCGGACGGGUGAGUAACGCGUGGGAAUGUGCCCUUUGGUACGGAACAACUGAGGGAAACUUCAGCUAAUACCGGAUAAGCCCUUCGGGGGAAAGAUUUAUCGGAGUUGGAUGAGCCCGCGUUGGAUUAGCUAGUUGGUGGG
rnacentral:rRNA from 1 species